GAUGAACGCUGGCGGCGUGCCUAAUACAUGCAAGUCGAGCGAACAGAUGAGGAGCUUGCUCCUCUGACGUUAGCGGCGGACGGGUGAGUAACACGUGGAUAACCUACCUAUAAGACUGGGAUAACUUCGGGAAACCGGCGCUAAUACCGGAUAAUAUAUUGAACCGCAUGGUUCAAUAGUGAAAGACGGUUUUGCUGUCACUUAUAGAUGGAUCCGCGCCGCAUUAGAUAGUUGGUAAGGUCACGGCUUACCAAGGCAACGAUGCGUAGCCGAGCUGUGGGGGUGGUCGGCCACACUGGAACUGAGACACGGUCCAGAGUCCUACGGGAGGCAGCAGUAGGGAAUCUUCCGCAAUGGGCGGAAGCUUGACGGAGCAACGCCGCGUGAGUGAUGAAGAUCUUCGGAUCGUAAAACUCUGUUAUGAGGGAAGAACAAAUGUGUAAGUAACUAUGCACGUCUUGACGGUACCUAAUCAGAAAGCCACGGCUAACUACGUG
rnacentral:rRNA from 1 species